rnacentral:tRNA from 1 species
UAAUAAGAAGCAAAAUCUGCGUUUAGUUUCGACCUAAAAAUUUGGUACAUGAUAUCCUUAUUUU